AACGAACGUUAGCGGCGCGCCUAACACAUGCAAGUCGCACGAGAAAGGGCUUCGGCCCCGGUAAAGUGGCGCACGGGUGAGUAACACGUGGGUAAUCUGCCCUCGAGCGGGGGAUAACAUUCCGAAAGGAGUGCUAAUACCGCAUAAGACCACGUUCUCGAAAGAGGAUGAGGUAAAAGCUGGCCUCUAUACAUAAGCUAGCACUUGAGGAUGAGCCCGCGGCGCAUCAGCUUGUUGGUGAGGUAACGGCGCACCAAGGCUAAGACGCGUAGCUGGUCUGAGAGGAUGAUCAGCCACACUGGAACUGAGACACGGUCCAGACUCCUACGGGAGGCAGCAGUGGGGAAUCUUGCGCAAUGGGCGAAAGCCUGGUGCAGCGACGCCGCGUGAGUGAUGAAGGCCUUCGGGUUGUAAAGCUCUGUGGGGAGAGACGAAUAAGUGCAGCCUAAUACGUUGCAUGAUGACGGUAUCUCCUUAGCAAGCACCGGCUAACUCUGUGCCAGCCGCCGCCGUAAGAC
rnacentral:rRNA from 1 species